rnacentral:rRNA from 1 species
GACGAACGCUGGCGGCGUGCUUAACACAUGCGAGUCGAACGGAAAGGCCCUGCUUGCUGGGUGCUCGAGUGGCGAACGGGUGAGUAACACGUGGGUGAUCUGCCCCUUACUUUGGGAUAAGCCUGGGAAACUGGGUCUAAUACUGGAUAGGACCAUGCUGCAGGUGGUGUGGUGGAAAGAUUAGUUUCGGUAAGGGAUGAGCUCGCGGCCUAUCAGCUUGUUGGUGGGGUAAUGGCCUACCAAGGCGUCGACGGGUAGCCGGCCUGAGAGGGUGGACGGCCACAUUGAGACUGAGAUGCGGCCCAGACUCCUACGGGAGGCGGCAGUGGGGGAUAUUGCACAAUAGUCGCAAGCCUGAUGCAGCGACGCCGCGUGGGGGGUGACGGCCUUCGGGUUGUAAACUCCUUUCGGCCAUGACGAAACCCUUGUGGUGACGGUAGUGGUAGAAGAAGCACCGGCUAACUACGUG